GAGGUUGGGAGAGGGAUGCAGAAUUCCAGGUGUAGCGGUGAAAUGCGUAGAUAUCUGGAGGAAUACCGGUGGCGAAGGCGGCAUCUUGGACCGACAUUGACGCUGAACGGCGAAAGCUAGGGGAGCAAACGGGAUUAGAUACCCCGGUAGUCCUAGCCCUAAACGAUGAAUGCUUGGUGUGGCGGGUAUCGAUCCCUGCCGUGCCGAAGCUAACGCAUUAAGCAUUCCGCCUGGGGAGUACGGUCGCAAGGCUGAAACUCAAAUGAAUUGACGG
rnacentral:rRNA from 1 species